rnacentral:pre_miRNA from 1 species
GAUCCCUGUCCUCAAGGAGCUUCAGUCUAGUAGGGGAGGAGACAUACUAGACUGUGAGCUCCUCGAGGGCAGGAAAG